GGGACUGCCAGAGAAUUCACCGACAGCAGCGAGCGGCCUGGAUGGAUGCUGACUUGACCUCUGCGGCCCUUGCUGGGGUCACUGCUUGGUAUCUGACAGAAAUCUGUAAUCUCUCCUCUCUGGAAGGCCUCGGCAAAGAGCUUCCAUUUCAGAGGAAGCUUGUUCCUGGGCAGCCGUCUCCAGAGAAAACGCCGUGUGAGGGAGCAGACAGUAAACAUCCUCAUCUCCCACAGGACCUGAGUGCGGGACUCUGGAGUGAGCUGGCUUGGGGACACUUACUCAGCUGGCCAUUCUUCUUUCAACACCUGAAGGUCUGAAAUCUUCAGUCCACUCAAGUUCUUCUCGUGGAAGGGACAAAGAAAGCAGAGACUACCUAGUAAAAGGGCAUGAAACAUUUCACGGAAAUGGGUUGUCUUUGGAACCAAACAGGUGAAGAUAGACAUAAGAAAAAGAAUGUGAUUCAUUUUCUACAUUGCACAGUCAUAAUGUUCAAUGAAUGAGGAGAUGGAAAAACUUGGGGUAGAAAAAUGAAAGUAUUACAGGCUGGAGACAAAAAAUGAGGGGGUUUAGGAUGAGAAAAGACAUACUCCAAAGAAAGGCGAAGAGGAUCGAACAAGUUCUAGUGAGAAAAUUAUUUUCUGUGCUUCCUGGCUUCCUGCUGAACACAUCAACCUCAAAUACAAUUUUGCACUGUGACCUUGGGCCCUCUUUCCUGUAAGAGCUGAGCAGACAUUCUGCUGAACAGAGCAGAAAUAGAGUUCCUCGUGGGGAGGACUAACCGAGCUGAAUAAAUCAUGCCUGGAGAACCUGACCUGAUUUUUUCCUUUUAGUAUUAUUUCGUGAUCUCCUAACAGAAAGGUUUGAGAAUAUCAGGUUAUAUAUGACUUCCUGAAAACAAUUAGAGCUUUGUAAUACAGGGUCAUCUAAUAAUAAACAUAAAUUCUUGGCAAAAAACAAAUAUGAGGUUUAUUGAUAAGUUGGUUGUUACAUAGGAAUACUAGGCCAUAUUGACUUUAAUAAAACAUUAAGUGGUUUAAUUAAAUCAUUAAUUCCACCCUUAGUUCCAUAUCUCAAAAGACUGUCAAUGUAAA